UACGGGGGGGGCAAGCGUUGUUCGGAAUUACUGGGCGUAAAGGGUGCGUAGGCGGGUCUUUAAGUCAGGGGUGAAAUCCUGGAGCUCAACUCCAGAACUGCCUUUGAUACUGAAGAUCUUGAGUUCGGGAGAGGUGAGUGGAACUGCGAGUGUAGAGGUGAAAUUCGUAGAUAUUCGCAAGAACACCAGUGGCGAAGGCGGCUCACUGGCCCGGUACUGACGCUGAGGUGCGAAAGCGUGGGGAGCAAACAGG
rnacentral:rRNA from 1 species